UGGGGAAUUUUGGACAAUGGGCGAAAGCCUGAUCCAGCAAUGCCGCGUGUGUGAAGAAGGCCUUCGGGUUGUAAAGCACUUUUGUCCGGAAAGAAAUCCUUGGCUCUAAUACAGUCGGGGGAUGACGGUACCGGAAGAAUAAGCACCGGCUAACUACGUGCCAGCAGCCGCGGUAAUACGUAGGGUGCAAGCGUUAAUCGGAAUUACUGGGCGUAAAGCGUGCGCAGGCGGUUUGCUAAGACCGAUGUGAAAUCCCCGGGCUCAACCUGGGAACUGCAUUGGUGACUGGCAGGCUAGAGUAUGGCAGAGGGGGGUAGAAUUCCACGUGUAGCAGUGAAAUGCGUAGAGAUGUGGAGGAAUACCGAUGGCGAAGGCAGCCCCCUGGGCCAAUACUGACGCUCAUGCACGAAAGCGUGGGGAGCAAACAGGAUUAGAUACCCUGGUAGUCCACGCCCGUAAAACGAUGUCAACUAGUUGUUGGGGAUUCAUUUCCUUAGUAACGUAGCUAACGCGUGAAGUUGACCGCCUGGGGAGUACGGUCGCAAGAUUAAAACUCAAAUGAAUUGACGGGGUCAUA
rnacentral:rRNA from 1 species